GUUUGUGUCCCACGUCACCUUCAGUCCGCUCAGAGCAGAGGAAUCAUUUCCAUAGAGAGGAGGCUUUGCAUCGUCAGCUGAUCCUCCACUGAACUGAGAAGCUUUAUAGUCCUGUGACUCCAACUCUGCAGGACUCAGACCCGUCAGUCGACCACAACCACCAUGACUCUCAUCACCCUCCUCAUCUGGACGCUGGCCUGCUGCAGCUUCACAGGAUGCAGCGGCCAGAUGACUGUGACUCAGCCUCCAGUCGUGACAUUUACUCCAGGAUCCACUGUCACACUGACCUGUAAAACCAACCCCAGUGUUGCUAACAAUAAUUAUAUGUCCUGGUACCAGCAGAAACCUGGACAGGCUCCCAAGCUUCUUAUAUACUAUACAUCAACUCUUAAUUCAGGAACUCCCUCUCGAUUCAGUGGCAGUGGAAGCAGCUCUGACUUCUCUUUGACCAUCAGUGGAAUUCAGAGUGAAGAUGUUGGAGAUUAUUACUGUCUCGUCUAUCAUGGUGGACAGUUCACACAGUGAUUUAGAGCCGUACAAAAACCUCCCUCAGUCUGACUGAAGUGAAACUGGUCUGCUGCAGCUGCACAGAGAAUAACUGGUCCAGUGAACACAACACAAGUCUUCAAGCAAAGGAAUCGAAACACAACUGAAACAAACCCCACA